rnacentral:tRNA from 1 species
GCCCGCCUAGCUCAAUCGGAUAGAGCGUCAGACUCUUAUUCUCCUAGGCGGAAUCUGACAUCUGAAGGCUGCGAGUUCGACCCUCGCGGUGGGCU